rnacentral:rRNA from 1 species
AAUGAACGCUGGCGGCGUGCUUAACACAUGCAAGUCGAGCGAGAAAGUGGGCUUCGGCCCGCGAGUACAGCGGCGAACGGGUGAGUAACACGUGGGUAACCUGCCUAGGAGUGGGGGAUAACCUGGGGAAACUCGGGCUAAUACCGCAUACGUCCUCGGGACUUCGGUUCUGAGGGGAAAGCUUGCCUCUGCAUGCAAGCUGGCGCUCCUAGAGGGGCCCGCGUCCGAUUAGCUUGUUGGUGAGGUAACGGCUCACCAAGGCAACGAUCGGUAGCCGGCCUGAGAGGGUGAUCGGCCACACUGGGACUGAGACACGGCCCAGACUCCUACGGGAGGCAGCAGUGGGGAAUAUUGGACAAUGGGCGAAAGCCUGAUCCAGCAACGCCGCGUGGAGGAAGAAGGCCUUCGGGUCGUAAACUCCUGUCAGUUGGGACGAAAAGCCGUCGGUAAAUACCCGGCGGUUCUGACGGUACCAGCAGAGGAAGCCCCGGCUAACUCCGUG